GCCUGGAGCCUGGGCGGCAUCUGAAAGAGGGGACCUGGGAAACGCGCUGGCGGCGGGAGAGGGAGGGAGGAUCCCGUACUGGUUAGUGCUGGACUGUGAGAAUCCCGCGGAUUCGGGAAUAGCUCAAGCGGGCGGGAGGAAUCUCGCUACUGGGCCGACGGGCGCUCACCAGGGUAGACCCUCAACCCUGCUGCUGAAGCCGAAACUCGGGCUCAAAGCGCCUGCCGCGCCACGCAGAUCUGCUGGCUCUGGAGGCUAGGGCUGCGCGUGCUGUGUAGGAGGAAAUGAAUGGCGGCCACGCGGGGGGCGCCCUGGCUGCAGGUGACGCGGGGAAGCCCGGAGCGCCUGAGGACGCGGCGCCAGUCUGUGGGUAUCCGGAGGCAGAUGGGGAGGGACAGAGGGUACGCCUGCCGUCGUUGCGGGGAAUCACGUGGCAGUUCUCGCUGCACCGACGCGAAGGCCCCCCUCUACUCUCCCUUACCCCCAGCUGGCCGUCAGCGGCAGCGUCACCUGCUUGCUAGCGCGCAGGGGCUCUGGCGCAAUCAUUGGCCUUGGAGGGGCGGGGAGGUCCCACACUCGGCGAAGGUGACGACAGCAAUGAUCUGGGUAAUAAUCAUCCUGUACAUUCUGUCCAUACCCGGGGCGGAGGGGUCUCCACUGUCUCCGAAGCGCUUUACCUCCUUCCCUUCAAAUCACACAGUUAGUGAAGCUGCCUGGUGCUGGGUCUCCUUCCUCCCACAGCUUCUCACCAAGAGCUACUCCUAGGGAUGCAGAGGCUAAUGCAAUGUUGGCUGCACUCAAGGACCAAGAUUGGGGGAGGGAGUAGUCCCAGAGAAUACCUCUGUGCAAGAUUCACUCAAGGCCCCAGACCUGGAGUCUCAUCCCUAUCAAGUCCUCCUCAGCUGUAUCCUGCUCUCUGGGAUGAAAGCCAAAGCUGGAGGUGGAGGCCCAGCUGAAUGAAAGGAGCCCUGAGACCUGGAAUGACAAGACACUGGAGCUCAGGGUCACUAGGAGACAGUCCAGAAAAUUCUACCCUCAUUGGAAGUUGUCUAGCAAUGGGUUCCAAUCCUGGCCCUGCCACUUUCUGUGUGACCUUGAACUUAAGGCUUUAUAAUUAUAGUUAAAAAAAAAAUACAUUCAUAGGAGUUGUUGUUUUCAAAACAUAAUAGAUCAUUAACACUGAAUAUGAAAAACAAAGUUCUUUCAAUUAUUUUAAUCUAAAAAAAAAUACAUUCAUUUUGGGGCACCUGGAUGGCUCAGUUGGUGGAGUUACGCGACUCUUGAUCUUGGGGUUGUAGGUUAGAGCCCCACUUUGGGUGUAGAGAUUACUUAAAAAUAAAAUCUGAAAAAAAUGUAUUCACUGUACCAUUAACAUUUCAGGAAAACACAAAGUUACGUGAAAACUUUAAUAUAUAUCCUUCUAAGCUUUUCCUCAUGUGUUUGCAUACUAUGCAUAUCUCUCUGAGCCUCCAUGUUCCAGUUUGAAGCAUUAGAGAUGAUAGAACCUACAUUAAGGACAGUUUUGUAGAUGAAAUCGUUGUCCUUAUGUGAGGUGGGUUGUCUCAGGAGGUAAUGAGCCUCCCUUCACCAAAAGUGCUAAAGGGACCAUAAGAGUUCUUGCUAAGGAUGAGAUGAGAAUGCUUUUGGGGAAUUGAAAUUAUUCUCUUGUCUAUCCCCAGAAUGAAAAGAUUGGAGGAAUAACAAUUUACCUUGGAAUUCAUUUGGUUAGCUCCUUCUUAAAUAAUCUUAUUCCAGUUCCUUCUGUGUGUGCCAGGUCAUGAUUAAAGCAAAAGACCUAGGUGCAAAAUCAGAAUGAUACUGCAUUAUAUAAGCUACAGUUAUGUUAUAAAAAUGUUGGGGGUAUCAUUUAAUUUUUUUAAUGUUUAUUUAUUUAUGAGAGAGAGAGAGACAGAGCACAAGAAGGGGAGGGGCAGGGAGAGGGAGACAGAGAAUCCAAAGCAGACUCCAGGCUCUGAGCUGUCAGCACAGAGCCAGACGUGGGGCUUGAACUCACAAACCAUGAGAUAUGACCUGAGCUGAAG